GAUGAACGCUAGCGACAGGCUUAACACAUGCAAGUCGAGGGGCAGCGGGGGAUGCGUUCGCGCAUUCUGCCGGCGACCGGCGCACGGGUGAGUAACACGUAUGCAACCUGCCCCGUCCAGGGGGAUAAUCGGCGGAAACGCCGUCUAAUACCGCGUAUAUCGAUUCCGGGCAUCCGGGAUUGAAGAAAGGGCCUUAGGGUCCGGGACGGGAUGGGCAUGCGGCGCAUUAGGAAGUUGGCGGUGUAACGGACCACCAAUCCGUCGAUGCGUAGGGGUUCUGAGAGGAAGGUCCCCCACACUGGUACUGAGACACGGACCAG
rnacentral:rRNA from 1 species